rnacentral:lncRNA from 1 species
AGUUAACUAUCGAAUACCUGUCCAAAAUUGCAGCUUGACAAUGUGGAGCAGAGGUGCAUAGUGAAUGUGUGCCAACCAGGAAACAACCUUCUAGCAGCAGGCUACUGCAUGUAUUCGAGCUCUGUGAUUUUCGUGCUCACGUUGGGAGAAGGAGUCUUUUCUUUCACAUUGGAUCCAGUGUUCGGAGAAUUUAUUCUGACUCAAGAAAACAUUCAAAUACCAAAGACCGGAAAGAUCUAUGCGUUAGUGAAUGUGUGCCAACCAGGGAACAACCUUUUAGCAGCAGGCUACUGCAUGUACUCGAGCUCUGUGAUUUUCGUGCUCACGUUGGGAAAAGGAGUCUUUUCUUUCACAUUGGAUCCAAUGUUCGGAGAAUUUAUUCUGACUUACGAAAACAUUCAAAUACCAAAG